CCUAUCCGAAUAUCGGGUACCAUUGCUAGAUGGUCACUUCGAUUAGUACAGGAAUUGGUUCCUAUGCUACCGGCUUAGGUUCGAACCUGCGGGGUCACACACAUUAGAGGUUCCUAUCUGAUCUGAUGGCUGAUGAAGAGUCCUAAUACUUGUGGACUAUGAGUCCUAUGUGUCUGAGACUUUAUGAUCAAGAAUCAGGAUUCUCUGAUCAUGAGUACCACACAUUUUGGGUAUCG
rnacentral:lncRNA from 1 species